rnacentral:rRNA from 1 species
GUCUCUGGCCAUGCUACCCUGAACAAGCCCGAUCCCGUCUGAUCUCGGAAGCUAAGCAGGGUCGGGCCUGGUUAGUACUUGGAUGGGAGACCACCUGGGAAGACCAGGGGCUGUAGGCC